rnacentral:sRNA from 1 species
GAGCUGGCUGCGCCCUCCACUGCAAGCGCCGGCAGCGCGGGGCGAGCUCCGGACGGCGCGCGGCCCAGGCAGCGGCUCCCGCUCGGCCCGCCCUCCGAGCCGCAGGGGCCGCCACCGCCGCGGCGCCUCCCCUGGCGACCGCGCCCCCGGGCCCCGGCUCCGGCCCGGGACGGAGGAGCCGGCGCUCGACACAGAGAGCUCUUCAGAACCCAGGCUGCUUUCAGGAACAUUGCUGUGGAUUCCCAGCUUUCAGACAACACAUGACUAAGACAGAAUGAGACCACUCUAGUUGCCUCAUGGGAAGCUCGGGAAAAUACUGCAAAAACAAC